rnacentral:rRNA from 1 species
CAGUCGCCACGGUAAUACAGAGGGUGCGAGCGUUAAUCGGAUUUACUGGGCGUAAAGCGUGCGUAGGCGGCUUUUUAAGUAGGAUGUGAAAUCCCUGAGCUUAACUUAGGAAUUGCAUUCGAUACUGGGAAGCUAGAGUAUGGGAGAGGAUGGUAGAAUUCCAGGUGUAGCGGUGAAAUGCGUAGAGAUCUGGAGGAAUACCGAUGGCGAAGGCAGCCAUCUGGCCUAAUACUGACGCUGAGGUACGAAAGCAUGGGGAGCAAACAGGAUUAGAUACCCCGGUAGUCCCUGUCUCUUAUAC